rnacentral:rRNA from 1 species
UACGGAGGGUGCGAGCGUUGUCCGGAAUCACUGGGCGUAAAGGGCGCGUAGGCGGCGCGGGGAGUCAACGGUGAAAGCUCGGCGCUCAACGCCGAGUCGGCCGUCGAUACUCCCGUGCUCGAGCACUGUAGAGGCAGGUGGAAUUCCGGGUGUAGCGGUGGAAUGCGUAGAGAUCCGGAAGAACACCGGUGGCGAAGGCGGUCUGCUGGGCCAAGACUGACGCUGAGGCGCGACAGCGUGGGGAGCAAACAGG